rnacentral:rRNA from 1 species
CCCUUAGAUGUUCUGGGCCGCACGCGUGCUACACUGAUGCAUUCAACGAGUCUAAAACCUGGUCUGAUAGGGCUGGGUAAUCUUUUGAAAGUGCAUCGUGAUUGGGAUAGAUGAUUGCAAUUCUUCAUCUUCAACGAGGAAUGCCUAGUAAACGCAAGUCAUCAGCUUGCGUCGAUUACGUCCCUGCCCUUUGUACACACCGCCCGUCGCUCCUACCGAUUGGGUGUGCUGGUGAAAUGUUCGGAUCGGCCGUUUGUCGCGGUUUCCGCGUCAUGUGGCUGAGAAGUUCAUUAAACCCUCCCACCUAGAGGAAGGAGAAGUCGUAACA